GGCUGUAGCUCAAUGGGAGAGCAUGUGCUUAGUGUGCACAAGGUCCUGGGUUCAAUCUCCAGAGCCA
rnacentral:tRNA from 1 species